GGACCUGACUGCUAUCGGAUUGAUACUAAGCCAUGCGAGUCAUUGUAGUAAUACAAGGCAGACGGCUCAGUAACGCGUAGUCAACCUACCCUAUGGACGGGGAUAACCUCGGGAAACUGAGAAUAAUACCCGAUAGAACAUUAUGCCUGGAAUGGUUUAUGUUUCAAAUAAUUUAUUGCCGUAGGAUGGGACUGCGGCCUAUCAGUUUGUUGGUGGGGUAAUGGCCCACCAAGACUAUUACAGGUACGGGCUCUGAGAGGAGUAGCCCGGAGAUGGGUACUGAGACACGGACCCAGGCCCUAUGGGGCGCAGCAGGCGAGAAAACUUUGCAAUGUGCGAAAGCACGACAAGGUUAAUCCGAGUGGUUUCUGCUAAAGGAACCUUUUGUCAGUCCUAGAAACACUGAUGAAUAAGGGGUGGGCAAGUUCUGGUGU
rnacentral:rRNA from 1 species